CUCUCCCUCUUUCUUCCUGCCUAACACAUGCAAGUCGAACGAACCUUUCGGGGUUAGUGGCGGACGGGUGAGUAACACGUGGGAACGUGCCUUUAGGUUCGGAAUAACUCAGGGAAACUUGUGCUAAUACCGAAUGUGCCCUUCGGGGGAAAGAUUAAUCGCCUUUAGAGCGGCCCGCGUCUGAUUAGCUAGUUGGUUGAGGUAAUGGCUCACCAAGGCGACGAUCAGUAGCUGGUCUGAGAGGAUGAUCAGCCACAUUGGGACUGAGACACGGCCCAAACUCCUACGGGAGGCAGCAGUGGGGAAUCUUGCGCAAUGGGCGAAAGCCUGACGCAGCCAUGCCGCGUGAAUGAUGAAGGUCUUAGGAUUGUAAAAUUCUUUCACCGGGGACGAUAAUGACGGUACCCGGAGAAGAAGCCCCGGCUAACUUCGUG
rnacentral:rRNA from 1 species